AAAAGCUCGUAGUUGAACUUCUUUCAGUGUGAAGUUAGUACCUUGGUACUGCUUUGUGCUGGAAUUCGCUCAUGAAACAUACGCGACCUUCAGUGGCUCGGUUUGUAGAGUGAGCAUUUUACUUUGAAAAAACUAGAGUGUUUAAGGCAGGCCAUGGCUUGAAUACAUUAGCAUGGAAUAAUAGAAUAGGGCACCGGUCCAUUUCGUUGGUUAUUGGAUUAGUGUAAUGAUUAAUAGGGACAGUUGGGGGCAUUUGUAUUUAAUUGUCAGAGGUGAAAUUCUUUGAUUUAUUAAAGACAAACUUAUGCGAAAGCAUUUGCCAAGGAUGUUUUCAUUAAUCAAGAACGAAAGUUAGGGGGAUCAAAAGACGAUUAGAUACCGUCGGUAGCCUUAACUAUUAAACUAUUUCCGACUCGGGGUUGACAUAGCUCAUAUUAACUUAUGCCCAGCGCCGUAUGAGAAAAUCCAAAGUCUUUUGGGACCCGGGGGGGAGUAUGGGUCGCAAGGCUGAAAACUUAAAGGAAUUGACGGGAGGGGCACACC
rnacentral:rRNA from 1 species